UGCUCCGUAGUGCCGGGCACAGAGCUGUUUUGAAAACAGUCUUUAAAAUGUUCGACUCAUUUGCGGGGUCG
rnacentral:tRNA from 1 species